AUGCCAGUGUAUUCCAGCUGUUGGUAAUGGUAAUAAUGUAGAAUGAUAAGAAUUCCAUAUCACUAUUGACAAGAAUAUAAAUUAAAACAUCACUUAACAAAACAGUGUGGGACUAUCUAAGACCAAAGUACAUGCCUCUGACACUGACACAACAAUUUCACUCCUAACCUUGUAUCCUGGAUCAUCCAGAACAAGGGCCUGUGAGGACAAAAAUAUUUGCUUUGUUUUGAUUGUUUAUUUGUGACAUGUCACUGUACAGCUGAGGCUUGGGUUGAACUUUGAAUCCUUCUGCCUCAGUCUCUUGAGUACUGAGAUUACAGGCAUGUGUCAUCACACCUAGAUGAAACUAUUUUUAUAAUAAUGUAUGUUAUUUGUCAUUUUCACUGGUAUUAACAUCUGUGCUGAUGGAGCAAAAACAUUGAUGGGUAAAAAUACAGUCAAAACCUGCCAAUCCCACCCAAAAAUACCUGUAAUGGAGCAGUCAAAAUUAACACUAUUGAAUCCCAGUCAAAAGGGCAAAACUCAACAGAUAAAUAAGCUUCAUUUGGGAGGAAAGCCUGGGAAGGACAACAAAGUCUCCUUCAGCCUGGUUGAAGAGGAAAUGUCAAGCCUCCCUUACAAACUGCAGCUUAUCGAUUCCAAAAGAUGAGCAAAAAUCUAUUCCAAGACUGAAUGAAAGAACUGACCAAUCUUAGAGCAAACCUGAGAGUGACUUAUGAGCAUAGCUGUACCAUACCAAACACAAUUACAAAA